UACGGAGGGGGCUAGCGUUGUUCGGAAUUACUGGGCGUAAAGCGCACGUAGGCGGAUCGGAAAGUUGGGGGUGAAAUCCCGGGGCUCAACCUCGGAACUGCCUUCAAAACUACUGGUCUUGAGUUCGAGAGAGGUGAGUGGAAUUCCGAGUGUAGAGGUGAAAUUCGUAGAUAUUCGGAGGAACACCAGUGGCGAAGGCGGCUCACUGGCUCGAUACUGACGCUGAGGUGCGAAAGCGUGGGGAGCAAACAGGAUUAGAUACCCCCGUAGUCC
rnacentral:rRNA from 1 species